GACGAACGCUGGCGGCGUGCUUAACACAUGCAAGUCGAACGAAGAGCGAUGGAAGCUUGCUUCUAUCAAUCUUAGUGGCGAACGGGUGAGUAACGCGUAAUCAACCUGCCCUUCAGAGGGGGACAACAGUUGGAAACGACUGCUAAUACCGCAUACGAUCUAAUCUCGGCAUCGAGGAUAGAUGAAAGGUGGCCUCUACAUGUAAGCUAUCACUGAAGGAGGGGAUUGCGUCUGAUUAGCUAGUUGGAGGGGUAACGGCCCACCAAGGCGAUGAUCAGUAGCCGGUCUGAGAGGAUGAACGGCCACAUUGGGACUGAGACACGGCCCAGACUCCUACGGGAGGCAGCAGUGGGGAAUCUUCCGCAAUGGACGAAAGUCUGACGGAGCAACGCCGCGUGAGUGAUGACGGCCUUCGGGUUGUAAAGCUCUGUUAAUCGGGACGAAAGGCCUUCUUGCGAACAGUGAGAAGGAG
rnacentral:rRNA from 1 species